rnacentral:piRNA from 1 species
GCUCUGUCCACUUGUUUGAGGAUUG